UAGAAACCUGAAGCACAAAAAAUCAAGCCUUUAUCUCAUCCCUGCCUAUUGCCAUUAUAUUCGAUUUGUCUUCAGAAAUAGAAGACUUUUUUUCCCAAGGAAGAUCUGAAGGCAAGGAAGUCUUUCACCUUCAAGCCUGAACCAUGACAUCAAAAGCUUCAGAGAAGUGGAGUAUGGGCUCCAUCUGGGCACCCUUUGAACCGAGUGCAUCAUGAGGAUUCUGUAGACUCUGGAUACCAAGGACCCUGGCAGCAGUGGUGGCCUGAGGGAAGGGAACUGUGGAAACUGGGAGGCGCAGACAGAGACUUCCUUUAUUUUCACUGCAAAGCUUUUGUGCAUCUGAGCUCCCCAAUCCUGACCUAUGGAUCACUUCAUCAGAUUACAGAGACAAAGCCGCCAUACAAAAAUAUCUACCCAAAGAAAACUUUGUCAUUGAAAAAAAUGCUUCCAGCGGCUUCUUUGUUUGGAGCAACAUCAAAAUGUUUAUGUAUUUAGUUAAAACCCAUUUUUAGCUUUUAGCCAAGCGCUCUCAUGUUUUUUAUUUCCCAUUGCAAGAUUUCUGAAAUCCCAUCUGGUCAACAAAGUGAUUUUUAUCUGAACUAUUAAUUGUAAUAUAUGAAAGUAAAUAAUAAAU